GCCUGGGUGGCUCAGUCGGUUAAGCGUCUGAUUUUGGCUCAGGUUAUGAUGUCACGGUUCGUGGGUUCGAGCCCCAUGUCAGGCU
rnacentral:tRNA from 1 species